GCAAGUCGAACGGUAGAGGGGGCAACCCCUUGAGAGUGGCGAACGGGUGAGCAUUUAUCGGAACGUGCCCAGUCGUGGGGGAUAACGUAGUCAUAAUGACGCUAAUACCGCAUACGAUCUAAGGAUGAAAGCGGGGGAUCGCAAGACCUCGUGCGACUGGAGCGGCCGAUAUCAGAUUAGGUAGUUGGUAGGGUAAAGGCCCACCAAGCCAACGAUCUGUAGCUGGUCUGAGAGGACGACCAGCCACACUGGAACUGAGACACGGUCCAGACUCCUACGGGAGGCAGCAGUGGGGAAUUUUGGACAAUGGGCGAAAGCCUGAUCCAGCCAUUCCGCGUGCAGGAUGAAGGCCCUCGGGUUGUAAACUGCUUUUGUACAGAACGAAAAGGUUUCUAUUAAUACUAGGAGCUCAUGACGGUACUGUAAGAAUAAGCACCGGCUAACUACGUGCCAGCAGCCGCGGUAAUACGUAGGGUGCAAGCGUUAAUCGGAAUUACUGGGCGUAAAGCGUGCGCAGGCGGUUAUAUAAGUCAGAUGUGAAAUCCCCGGGCUCAACCUGGGAACUGCAUUUGAGACUGUAUAGCUAGAGUACGGUAGAGGGGGAUGGAAUUCCGCGUGUAGCAGUGAAAUGCGUAGAUAUGCGGAGGAACACCGAUGGCGAAGGCAAUCCCCUGGACCUGUACUGACGCUCAUGCACGAAAGCGUGGGGAGCAAACAGGAUUAGAUACCCUGGUAGUCCACGCCCUAAACGAUGUCAACUGGUUGUUGGGUCUUAACUGACUCAGUAACGAAGCUAACGCGUGAAGUUGACCGCCUGGGGAGUACGGCCGCAAGGUCGAAACUCAAAGGAAUUGACGGGGACCCGCACAAGCGGUGGAUGAUGUGGUUUAAUUCGAUGUCACGCGAAAAACUUACCCACCUUUGACAUGUACGGAAGGAUCCAGAGAUGGAUUUGUGCU
rnacentral:rRNA from 1 species